rnacentral:rRNA from 1 species
AUUGAACGCUGGCGGCAUGCCUUACACAUGCAAGUCGAACGGUAACGCGGGGCAACCUGGCGACGAGUGGCGAACGGGUGAGUAAUACAUCGGAACGUGCCCAGUAGUGGGGGAUAGCCCGGCGAAAGCCGGAUUAAUACCGCAUACGACCUACGGGUGAAAGCGGGGGAUCGCAAGACCUCGCGCUAUUGGAGCGGCCGAUGUCAGAUUAGCUAGUUGGUGGGGUAAAAGCCUACCAAGGCGACGAUCUGUAGCUGGUCUGAGAGGACGACCAGCCACACUGGGACUGAGACACGGCCCAGACUCCUACGGGAGGCAGCAGUGGGGAAUUUUGGACAAUGGGGGCAACCCUGAUCCAGCCAUGCCGCGUGCGGGAAGAAGGCCUUCGGGUUGUAAACCGCUUUUGUCAGGGAAGAAACGGUCUGAGCUAAUACCUCGGACUAAUGACGGUACCUGAAGAAUAAGCACCGGCUAACUACGUGCCAGCAGCCGCCGUAACAC